UCCAAGUGUCACUGAUCUACAGCCACAUCCUCAACAGACCUGUGGCUGAUACCCUGCAAAUUUCCCUCUGCAAAUAGUAUCAGGCAGAGAGAGAGAUGCAUGUCAACAAGCUGGGAAACAUGUGUGGCAACCUAUGCUUUGCUGGCACUGUCCAACUCUCAUGCUGACCAGGAAUGUGGGCAAGUUCUCUCCAGCCCAGAACAGAUGACUUCCUGGCUGCCCUGGAUGGAGGAUCCUUCUGUUUGGUGCACUGAGAUCCCAAGCUGGUACCUGAUGCUCACUGACUGCUUGAGAAAGAAGGGCUCUGACCUCCAGAAGAAUACCCCUCUGGUGCCAGGCAGCCACUCCAGACUCUGGGAGUUGAGACCUGGGAGCAGAGAGCAUGGCACCCACAGUGAAGCCAACCUGUCACGUAACUGCCGGCUGGCUGUGACUGCUGCUGAGAGUCGCACUUGGGAAAUGUGGGGAACUGAUCUUGGCAACAGAGCCCAGGUGUGGAUGCUUGAGAAGCUGAGUUGUCUGCAUGGCUGAGUUCUCUUUUCACCUGCUGGCCACUUCCAGGUCUGUGGAAAGUGUCUGUGCCCGGCCCUUGAACAUCUUCCAGUUCUCAUCUUCUUGUUGGACAGUGUGGCCAGCAUCACAAGGACACAUGAGAACAGAAGCCAGAAGCAUCCAUUUGAAAGGUUCCAUACCAUCGAAUUUGUGGACAUCGUAGAAUCUUCUGGAGCAAUUUGGCAUGGCCCAGAAGUAGAAAAUAAAUAAAC